CCAAUAGCGUAUAUUAAAGUUGCUGCAGUUAAAAAGCUCGUAGUUGAAUUUCGGGAUCAAUAUGUUGGUCGUGCCUUGGUACGUACUAGCUUAUUGAUUUCUCCUUUCUGACGAACCAUGAUGUCAUUAAUUUGGUGUCAUGGGGAAUCAGGACUGUUACUUUGAAAAAAUUAGAGUGUUUAAAGCAGGCUCGCGCUUGAAUACAUUAGCAUGGAAUAAUGAAAUAGGACAUUUGAUUCUAUUUUGUUGGUUUCUAGGAUCGAUGUAAUGAUUAAUAGGGGUAGUUGGGGGCAUUAGUAUUCAAUUGUCAGAGGUGAAAUUCUUGGAUUUAUUGAAGACUAACUACUGCGAAAGCAUUUGCCAAGGAUGUUUUCAUUAAUCAAGAACGAAAGUUAGGGGAUCGAAGAUGAUCAGAUACCGUCGUAGUCUUAACCAUAAACUAUGCCGACUAGGGAUCGGAUGAUGUUAAUUUUUUAAUGACUCAUUCGGCGCCUUACG
rnacentral:rRNA from 1 species